rnacentral:lncRNA from 1 species
AAUGGACCAACUCAUGCAUACAAUGCUCAAUCUCCAUUGUUCUACCAUUUUCCCAAACAUACAAGUUACACAAUCACUUCCCAAUGUCAAACCCAACUCCCAUCUCUCACCAAAAGAUCUCAAGAACACUUUGCACAUAAAACUCUUUUUCUCUGAAAUCUAUAAAGGAUUUUCUCAACUUCUAAACAAAUCUUAGCUCUAAACAACUUUGCUAACCCUUUUUUUUUUUUUUUUUCGGGGGCCAAGACUUUUUAUAAACUCGAGCUAGACGUUUAUCUAUUAAUUCCAAUAAGAUUAUCCA